GGACAAUCCUUCUUCUUCCAGAGGAGAGAAAGAAUCCGAAAAUAACAACGGGAACAAAAAGAGACCGACCUCCUCCUGAAAGCGACAGGGCUUGAUGGUCACUGAGGAGGGAGGGACAACACUUGGUUGGUCUGGACAGCAGGACGACAGCGAACAGGAAGAUGCCAGCUGCUGUCGAGGACUGGGAUAAAACCGAGGAAAAUGUCAGCGAAAAAUUCCACCAACUUCAGUCAAACUUUCACUACAAAGUGAUUUUAUUUGUAAAAUAUCAUGGAUGUUUAAGCAAUAUCCAGCGUUUGUACACAUUUUAUUGAUUGAAUGAAAUAAAAACUCUGUAAACAUAA